UCUUCAAACUUAAAGGAUUUGGCGGUAUUUUAGUCUUGUUAGAGGAACCUGUACUUUAAACGAUAAACCACGCAGUAUCUUACCUAUUUUUGUAGAAACAAUUUGUAUAUCGUCAUUAUUAGAUAAAUUUAAUAAAAAUUUAUUAAAAUAAAGAAUAUUUAAUAUAUUAGAUCAAGGUGCAGUUUAUAAAUAGGAUAUAGAUGGGUUACAAUUUUUAAUAAAAGUUGGAUUAAUUUUUAAAACAGAAUUAUAAAAAUGGAUUUAAUAGUAAUAUUAUUUUAAUAAGAUAAGAUGAUUUUAGCUCUAAAAUAUGUACACAUCGCCCGUCGCUCGCGGGAAAAA
rnacentral:rRNA from 1 species